AUCUGAGAAGGUUUUGCACUGAUUCCUCCAUGGGUGGGGAUUUGUUGCAUUACUUGUAGCUAUGUUUAGAGUAUUGCACUUGUCCCGGCCUGUGGAGGGAAGGAGGACUUGUCAUCAGGU